rnacentral:rRNA from 1 species
AGCAGUCGCCACGGUAAUACGGAGGAUCCAAGCGUUAUCCGGAAUCAUUGGGUUUAAAGGGUCCGUAGGCGGUCUUGUAAGUCAGUGGUGAAAGCCCAUCGCUCAACGGUGGAACGGCCAUUGAUACUGCAGGACUUGAAUUAUUGGGAAGUAACUAGAAUAUGUAGUGUAGCGGUGAAAUGCUUAGAGAUUACAUGGAAUACCAAUUGCGAAGGCAGGUUACUACCAAUUGAUUGACGCUGAUGGACGAAAGCGUGGGUAGCGAACAGGAUUAGAUACCCCAGUAGUCCCUGUCUCUUAUAU